UACGUAGGGCGCAAGCGUUGUCCGGAAUUAUUGGGCGUAAAGAGCUCGUAGGCGGUCUGUCGCGUCGGCUGUGAAAACCCGAGGCUCAACCUCGGGCCUGCAGUCGAUACGGGCAAACUGGAGUGUUGCAGGGGAGACUGGAAUUCCUGGUGUAGCGGUGAAAUGCGUAGAUAUCGAGAGGAACACCUGCGGCGAAGGCGGGUUGCUGGGCUGACACUGACGCUGAAGCGCGAAAGCUAGGGGAGCGAACGGG
rnacentral:rRNA from 1 species